CCUACGGGAGGCAGCAGUGGGGAAUCUUCCGCAAUGGACGAAAGUCUGACGGAGCAACGCCGCGUGAGUGAUGACGGCCUUCGGGUUGUAAAGCUCUGUUAAUCGGGACGAAAGGCCUUCUUGUGAAUAGUGAGAAGGAUUGACGGUACCGGAAUAGAAAGCCACGGCUAACUACGUGCCAGCAGCCGCGGUAAUACGUAGGUGGCAAGCGUUGUCCGGAAUUAUUGGGCGUAAAGCGCGCGCAGGCGGAUAGGUCAGUCUGUCUUAAAAGUUCGGGGCUUAACCCCGUGAUGGGAUGGAAACUGCCAAUCUAGAGUAUCGGAGAGGAAAGUGGAAUUCCUAGUGUAGCGGUGAAAUGCGUAGAUAUUAGGAAGAACACCAGUGGCGAAGGCGACUUUCUGGACGAAAACUGACGCUGAGGCGCGAAAGCCAGGGGAGCGAACGGGAUUAGAUACCCCAGUAGUC
rnacentral:rRNA from 1 species